rnacentral:rRNA from 1 species
AUGGCCGCCGCCGCCGCGAGAUCCUUCCUCCGAUCCGGAUCCGCCACCUCCUCCCUCCGCGGCGCGGCCGCCAGGGCCGCCUCCCGCUCCGGGCCGGCAACCCCCUCGAGGCGGCUCCUCUCCUCUCCUCCCCGCGCCCGCCUCGCCCUAAGGUCGCCGCUGGAGAUGAGCAGCGCCUGCUUGGAGUCGCUGAUGCCCAUGCACAGCGCGACGGCUUCGGCGCUCAUGACGUCGCUCCUCGCCGCCCCGGCUCGCGUUGGUUCCUGCUGGAUCUCCGAAGCUGGCAAUGACGACCUGUGA